GCGCCAGUGGUGUAAGACGUAGCAUCGCUGAGCGGAGAACAGAAGGUGCGGGUUCGAGUCCCGCCUGGUGCA
rnacentral:tRNA from 1 species